rnacentral:rRNA from 1 species
CCACGGGCCGCAGCAGUGAGGAAUAUUGCACAAUGGGGGGAACCCUGAUGCAGCAACGCCGCGUGGAGGAUGACGCAUUUCGGUGUGUAAACUCCUUUUAUAUGUCAAGAAAAUGACGGUAGCAUAUGAAUAAGCACCGGCUAACUCCGUGCCAGCAGCCGCGGUAAUACGGAGGGUGCAAGCGUUACUCGGAAUCACUGGGCGUAAAGGACGCGUAGGCGGGUUGGAAAGUCAGGUGUGAAAUCCUACAGCUUAACCGUAGAACUGCACUUGAAACUUCUAAUCUAGAGUAUGGGAGGGGGAGAUGGAAUUAGUGGUGUAGGGGUAAAAUCCGUAGAUAUCACUAGGAAUACCUAAAGCGAAGGCGAUCUCCUGGAACAUUACUGACGCUAAGGCGUGAAAGCGUGGGGAGCAAACAGGAUUAGAUACCCUCGUAGUC